rnacentral:rRNA from 1 species
UACGUAGGGUGCAAGCGUUGUCCGGAAUUAUUGGGCGUAAAGAGCUCGUAGGCGGUCUGUCGCGUCUGCUGUGAAAACUCGGGGCUUAACCCCGGGCCUGCAGUGGGUACGGGCAGACUAGAGUGCGGUAGGGGAGACUGGAAUUCCUGGUGUAGCGGUGAAAUGCGCAGAUAUCAGGAGGAACACCGGUGGCGAAGGCGGGUCUCUGGGCCGAAAUUGACGCUGAGGAGCGAAAGCGUGGGGAGCGAACAGG